rnacentral:rRNA from 1 species
AGCGAACGCUGGCGGCAGGCUUAACACAUGCAAGUCGAGCGGGCACUUUCGGGUGUCCGCGGCGGACGGGUGAGUAACGCGUGGGAACGGGCCCUCUGGUUCGGAAUAACUCAGGGAAACUUGAGCUAAUACCGGAUACGCCCUUUUGGGGAAAGGCUUGCUGCCGGAGGAUCGGCCCGCGUCUGAUUAGCUAGUUGGUGAGGUAACGGCUCACCAAGGCGACGAUCAGUAGCUGGUCUGAGAGGAUGAUCAGCCACACUGGGACUGAGACACGGCCCAGACUCCUACGGGAGGCAGCAGUGGGGAAUAUUGGACAAUGGGCGCAAGCCUGAUCCAGCCAUGCCGCGUGAGUGAUGAAGGCCUUAGGGUUGUAAAGCUCUUUUAUCCGGGACGAUAAUGACGGUACCGGAGGAAUAAGCCCCGGCUAACUUCGUG